rnacentral:tRNA from 1 species
GCUAUUUUGGCAGAAAAAUGUAAUGAAUUUAGAAUUCAAUAAUAUAUAAUUAAUUUAUUAUAUAAAUAGUA